AACGAACGCUGGCGGCAUGCCUAACACAUGCAAGUCGAACGAGACCUUCGGGUCUAGUGGCGCACGGGUGCGUAACGCGUGGGAACCUGCCCUUAGGUUCGGAAUAACUCCCCGAAAGGGGUGCUAAUACCGGAUAAUGUCUUCGGACCAAAGAUUUAUCGCCUUUGGAUGGGCCCGCGUUGGAUUAGCUCGUUGGUAGGGUAAAAGCCUACCAAGGCGACGAUCCAUAGCUGGUCUGAGAGGAUGAUCAGCCACACUGGGACUGAGACACGGCCCAGACGCCUACGGGAGGCAGAAGUGGGGAAUAUUGAACAAGGGGCGAAAGCCUGAUCCAGCCAUGCCGCGUGAGUGAUGAAGGCCUUAGGGUUGUAAAGCUCUUUUACCCGGGAGGAUAAUGACAGUACCGGGAGAAUAAGCUCCGGCUAACUACGUG
rnacentral:rRNA from 1 species